UCCAACCUCAUCCCUUCAAGGUUGCGUGACAAUAUUGUAGGGACUGGUGGGUCAUGUUCCAAACGGAGAAGGUUGGAUUGUGAUCCUGUGGUCUCAUCUAACCCUUCUACAACUGAGCUUCAGGAUGGAGUUGAUACUGAUGCAAGUGUGUUGCAAAAGGAAUAUCCUGUAAAUUCACCAAAAGAAGUCACAAAGCACACAUGUCUAAUUUGCAAGAGUGGUGGACAGCUACUGUGCUGAAGAGGAUGAAGGUACUAAUUACAAGAUCACACCUUUUCUUUAAAUAGCAUUUCAAUUCAUUCACUGAUAACAUUUUGAUUUGGUUUUGUAGAAAAAGGAGUACCUGCUUUUUGGCUCAAUGCAAUGAAAAACAAUGAAGUGUUAGCUGAAGAGGGGGUUCCGUCUG